ACUCUGACGCCAAUCAUUGACUAAAGCACGAACAGAACGCGGUUGGCAUACGCUACACUGUUACGCUGUCUGUUGCUGCUGCUGCUGCUGCUGCUGCUCCCUGGUUUCACGGGCCAUUCGUGUUCCUCCUUGCAUGCACCAGCAGGCCUUGAAGCUGUCUCCUAAGUCAGAAGAGUGCUGCAACGAUAAACCGGAUGAUGAAGACUGACGGAACAUGCGGAUCCAGCGCGAACUUCUGAAGGGAUCAUCUCCAUGAACGUGAUGUACCUAGUAGUGCUUUCUGUUUUCUU